GAAGACGGUCAUAGCAGCCAGGAAACGCCCGUUCUCUUUCCGAACACGGAAGCUAAGCUGGUUGCGUCGGCAUGUUAGUCUCCCAACAGAGGCGAAGUUCCGAUGCUGUCUUCG
rnacentral:rRNA from 1 species